AAGUCGUAACAAGGUUUCCGUAGGUGAACCUGCGGAAGGAUCAUUAUAGUAUAUCUAUAUCUAGGAUGGGGGUGCUCUCGGGGCCCCCCACCCGCAACCGUCGAAUAAUCCUUAAGUCAAUUACUUAAACGUUUAAUCCAGUUUAGGCCUUUGGAUGGCAUUGGAACCUUUAACUGGCCCCUUGGUGGGAUAAAAACUAAAUUCUUUAAUAAACUGCCUGAAUUUAAUGUAAAUGUCUGAAUUAAUAUUAAAUAUUAAAA
rnacentral:misc_RNA from 1 species